rnacentral:lncRNA from 1 species
GAUUAGCUGUGAAACCUUCAGGAAUCUUGAACUGCCACCCUCAGACUUGGUUUUUCACUAUGUUAUUCUUUCCCAGAAUGCACUUCUAAUAUCAGCUAGGCCAAUGCACUUCCUAUUGAACCAAGUUGCUUUAUUACUCUGAUACCUUGGUGAGCCUAAUAGAGACUAGUAGAUUAGUAGACUUUGGUUUUAUGGAAUUAAAUUGUUAUUUAUGGCUCAGAGAGACUAAGAAGAAGCUAAAAUGGCAGAAAUAUCUUUGCAUUACAGUAUAGCAGUUUGCAAAAGCCCUUACAUGCAUUAAUUAAUUGAUUGUUCAAUCUUCAAUCCACCAGUGUCUAUCCUUUAGUAGACAUUCAUAUGUUUGUUUUAUGAAUGAACAUGGGGGUUUAUUGUACCUCUUUUACAGAUUGGGCUACUGAGGACCAAGCAAGUGAAUUGAGUUUCUUGAAAUUCAAGUCUAUAUUUUAUCAAAUGUAGAGCCUUGACAUCUGGGUCAUUUCAGGUCAACAUUUACUGAGUACCUAUUAAGUGACAUGUACUUGCCUAUGCUUAACAAUGUAUUCCUUGGUUUUGAGAGAUUGUAGGCUUUUGGGGGAGUCACACACAUAAACACAUAAUUUCAACAAAAUAUGCUAAAUGAUGGUGCAGCCUGCUGCCUAUGGAUUGAGAACUCUGAAACCAUGAGCCCCCAAAUAAACUUUUCCUUCUCUACAGUUGUGCUGAUCAGGUCAUUUAGUCAUAGCUUUGAAAAAGAUGACUAAAAAGAAAUUGGUACCAAGAAGUAGGUUUGCUGAUGUGGCUAACUUUACCAUGUGGUUCAAAAGCUAUUGGAGCUUUUUGGAAUUGGUU